rnacentral:lncRNA from 1 species
CAGGGUGAUGGCUCUGGAGAUUUGUAAUUACCAAGUUCAUGCUGAGGAAAUGAAACAACAUGUCAGUGAGACUGCUUAGAAAGACUUGAAAGGAUAAGUGUGUUGACAAGAACUCUGCUACGGACUGUUUCACUGGGGUCUUUUGGUCUAAUACGGAUAGCACAUGCAGAGCAAUCUUGCUGAGGAGAUCCUGUGAACCCACGUGCUGUCAUCUGGGCACCACACUUUCUUCAGCAAUCACUGCAAACACUCUUUUGGGACAGACUUUCCCACAGAUUUUCUUUUGUAACCCUCCAGGAGGAAAUCUUUUAGGAUUUUACUUUGGAAGAAGCCAUAUGAUCGAUGGAGCAAACUGUCAGGAGCUAUUAGACAAAAUAAUGCUGGCUGUAUGUAGCAGCCCUCCUGCAAAUCUUGGACACCUUUCACAUACCAGAAUCCUGAGGCCCAAACUGUGGAAUUUUCCUCGGCUCUCAUGGGAUGCAAGGUGUAUUGUGUUUCUAGUGAAUUUUGAGUUUGGCCUUUGGACAAACUACAGAGAUCCAAAUCAGACACCACACACUCCUACUGGCAGGAGAAAAUGACAAAAUGGUAGUGCAGAGUUUGCAUCAGAGCUUACAGAUCCUUUCUUUCCCUGAUGUACAAACAAAAGGAGUUUGCACAGCUGUGUUUCCCAUAGAGGCAAGUAAAACCCAUCUCCACCAACUAGUGAAGAAAACUCUAUGGCCAGGGACACUUGCCCUGCAAGAGGACUCAUAGUUCUGAAGACAUUAAUCAUGGGAUUAAUGGGUUUUCAGGUCUUUAUAUUUCCUUGGAUCAAAUUACCCUCCUCUCCCCCAGCAAAGAUAUCUUAUUCUCUCUAUUCUCUGAAUCUAAAGGUCUUGAAACUUUUCUUUCAAUCUCCAUCCUCUGGCUGGUAGCUACAUGGAGGAAUCCUCCACUCCAUGAACAGGCCCAGUGUGAUGGCAGUGUCUCCUGCUACGAUGCUCUCAUACCCGUGGGGUACAGCCAUCUACAGACCUGCCAAGUCUGCUUCUGGAGAUGAUCUGGAAGUAGAAACACCAUUCACUCUAGCAAAAAAGAAUGACAAAUUUCUAAUACAGAUUUCCUCUCUGUGCGAGAGAGACAUGUCAGGUAUGUCAGAGGAGAGAAAAACAAUUCAGGCUGAAAAUUU